UACGGGGGGAGCAAGCGUUGUUCGGAUUUACUGGGCGUAAAGGGCGCGUAGGCGGUCGUGACAAGUCACUUGUGAAAUCUCCGGGCUUAACUCGGAACGGUCAAGUGAUACUGUCGGACUAGAGUACAGAAGGGGCAACUGGAAUUCUCGGUGUAGCGGUGAAAAUGCGUAGAUAUCGGGAGAACACCCGUGGCGAAGGCGGUUCUCUGGGACGGUACUGACGCUGAGACGCGAAAGCGUGGGGAGCGAACAGG
rnacentral:rRNA from 1 species